rnacentral:lncRNA from 1 species
CUGGAUGAUUCGGCCACAGACUGAACAUCAUCCUCUUCUUGCUGAAGCAGAUGCUUCCCACACUCCAGAUCUAGACAUAAACUACAGCUAAAGUGACCCUCGGAGUAAUCCUGUCUUGAAGCGGGUUCAAAAGAUCAACUCUAUAGUAUAGGGUUUCGGUUGGUUGUUCCAAAGCAGUUCAAAAGAGUUGGGACUGAUGCGGAUUCAGAUGAUCAUGUUCAGGGACAGUUGCAGCCAGCCGCAAGAGGAGCCGCAGCCUCUCACAGUCAAGCCGCAGCUGCAGCACCUUGCUGCAGCCGCAGUCUAGCCGCAAAGGCAGCCCGUAGCUUGCAGUUAAGCCGCGGCUUAGGGGGCUGCAGUCACAGCUGCGCGAGCAGUUACCGUUGGGCCCCGAACCUUUGUUCGAGCAUCGAAUCUGUUGCGCUCCAGUAUUUUUCC